rnacentral:rRNA from 1 species
AUUGAACGCUGGCGGCAUGCCUUACACAUGCAAGUCGAACGGCAGCACGGGAGCAAUCCUGGUGGCGAGUGGCGAACGGGUGAGUAAUAUAUCGGAACGUGCCCAGUCGUGGGGAUAACGUAGCGAAAGCUACGCUAAUACCGCAUACGAUCUAUGGAUGAAAGCGGGGGGAUCGCAAGACCUCGCGCGAUUGGAGCGGCCGAUAUCAGAUUAGGUAGUUGGUGAGGUAAAGGCUCACCAAGCCGACGAUCUGUAGCUGGUCUGAGAGGACGACCAGCCACACUGGGACUGAGACACGGCCCAGACUCCUACGGGAGGCAGCAGUGGGGAAUUUUUGGACAAUGGGCGCAAGCCUGAUCCAGCAAUGCCGCGUGCAGGGAU